GGGCUCCCCACAGACGGAGCAAAGUACCUGUCAAGCAGCAUCAAAUAUCCAGUGCAAUCAAGACAACUUCUAUGAUAUGAAACAGCAAGAGGAAAAUCAUGCACUACCUCCUUAGAUUCUUAUCACCGGGGUGUGUUUAACAAGCAGAGCUAAGCUGAGGCAGGGAAAGGCCCUUGGAGGAACCAUCACUGCUUCCCUCGUGAUGAGAAGACCUGGCAAAAUUAUGAACAGGUGGAAAAGCGCACCCCAGAAGUGCUCCCUCACUUGCUCCUGAACCCGGGUACACAUCAGAACAUCAAUCUGCCUAUUCAGCAUCAUCACGACGGUGCGGGAACCUCCUUGGCACUUUCAAAUACUUUUUUCAUAAACCCAAUUCAUGUCCACUAGGAAUGGCCCUGACCAGGGAGAGACU